CCCCAGUAAACGGCGGCCGUAACUAUAACGGUCCUAAGGUAGCGAAAUUCCUUGUCGGGUAAGUUCCGACCUGCACGAAUGGCGUAAUGAUGGCCAGGCUGUCUCCACCCGAGACUCAGUGAAAUUGAACUCGCUGUGAAGAUGCAGUGUACCCGCGGCAAGACGGAAAGACCCCGUGAACCUUUACUAUAGCUUGACACUGAACAUUGAGCCUUGAUGUGUAGGAUAGGUGGGAGGCUUUGAAGUGUGGACGCCAGUCUGCAUGGAGCCAACCUUGAAAUACCACCCUUUAACGUUUGAUGUUCUAACCUAGGCCCAUAAACUGGGUCGGGGACCGUGUCUGGUGGGUAGUUUGACUGGGGCGGUCUCCUCCUAAAGAGUAACGGAGGAGCACGAAGGUUGGCUAAGCAUGGUCGGACAUCAUGCGGUUAGUGCAAAGGCAUAAGCCAGCUUGACUGCGAGAGUGACGGCUCGAGCAGGUACGAAAGUAGGUCUUAGUGAUCCGGUGGUUCUGAAUGGAAGGGCCAUCGCUCAACGGAUAAAAGGUACUCCGGGGAUAACAGGCUGAUACCGCCCAAGAGUUCAUAUCGACGGCGGUGUUUGGCACCUCGAUGUCGGCUCAUCACAUCCUGGGGCUGAAGUAGGUCCCAAGGGUAUGGCUGUUCGCCAUUUAAAGUGGUACGCGAGCUGGGUUUAGAACGUCGUGAGACAGUUCGGUCCCUAUCUGCCGUGGGCGUUGGAAGAUUGAGAGGGGUUGCUCCUAGUACGAGAGGACCGGAGUGAACGCACCACUGGUGUUCGGGUUGUCAUGCCAAUGGCAUUGCCCGGUAGCUAAGUGCGGAAGAGAUAACCGCUGAAAGCAUCUAAGCGGGAAACUUGCCUCGAGAUGAGUCUUCCCUGUCGCUUUAAGCGACCUAAAGGAACGUUUAAGACUAAGACGUUGAUAGGCUGGGUGUGUAAGCGUAGCGAUACGUUGAGCUAACCAGUACUAAUGAACCGUGAG
rnacentral:rRNA from 1 species